AAUCAGAAACCCUAAUUUCCAAAUUAAUUAAGAAACCCUAACCCUCCCCCACUCUCCUUAGCAGCAGCCGUUGGCCACACUUCCUUCCCCUAACAGUCAUACAACACCCACGUAGCUGAGAAAGAAAGGCAGAAAUGGAAAGGGAGAAGAGAUAGAGCUUGGAAUCAGAGAAGUAGAGGGAGCCGCACUCUGCACUGUCCAGCUCGCCGCCACCGCCGCGUCUCGCCUGCGCCGUCGCCUCUACUGAGUGGUUGCCGUCAUCACGCGAGAAAGGAGAAGGAGCUCCCAAGGGGUCGUUGAGCCGCUACGGUCACCGUCGUCUCGGCUGUUCCCACCGCCGUUGGAUCCGUCACGCGCGUCGUCGUCCGAGGAGCCACCGUCGUCCUUGCUCGUCGUCUCCCUUAGAGCCGUCGCCGUCGAGGGCCAGUAGAGAGAGAAACGCGAGAGUCAGGGUCGCCACCGAGAAGAGAAGGAGCUGUGUUCCACGCCACCGUCGCCACCGAUCCACAGCCACCACCGCGAGGGUUCUGUCGUCGUCGUUCCAGUGCCAUCGUUUAUGCCGUUCGUCGCCACCACCUUACCAGAGUCUCUGCCGCCGUGGAUACUACCAUUGGAGUCGCUAGGAACCAAUUUCUGGAGAUGCUCUUGAUGAUUCUGAUGCUGCUACGUAGGUUCCGAGCUACUGUGUUGUUGCCAGAGGAAGGGAACUCAUAGGAAAAACGUCACCGAGGCUGCUGCUUGGUUUGAUUGCGUCGUUAAUGCGACAUUGAGGUAGGGGAUUUAUUUUAAAAUUAACAGUUUUAACUUAUGAAUGCCAAUGAGGUUUAGUGAGUAAUUGCAAAUGAUUCAUAAAUAUGAUUAAUUGAUAGGAAUAAGCUUGGUUUGAGGUUGUGAAAUUUGGAUUAAGUUUGAUAUUGAGAUGAUAUUCUAGUGAUUUAAUUAGUUUAAUGAGUUUAGAUUAUGGCUGUGAAUGUUACUGGGUUUUGUUAUUAUGAGUAAUUAAUUUGACAAGAUUAAUUUUGGUUAAUGCUGUGACUGAUAUUGGUUUUCUGAUUUUGAUGACUUUGUUGAAAAAUUCUGAUUUUAUAUGAUAUUGCUGAAUUGGUUGAAAUGUGGUUGUGAAUGGUGAUCCAUUUGAAAAUACUUGUUAAAUUGAAAUUUGAUAAGUUAACUAUUGAAAAGUUGUCGUAUUGAUAAUUGAUGAAUUGAGUUGGAUUUGUGUUUGGUUUGGGAUCAUUGUGAUAAUGGUUUGAGUUGUGGCUGUAUUUUGAAUAUUGAGACUAAGCAUUUGCUGUUGAUUUUAGUAAUCUGAUAUGUUGGAAUGGCUGUGAAAUUGACUUGCGACUGGUUGGAAUUGGUUUUGAUGCUUGUUAAUGUUGAUUCGUGAUUAAUUAGAAUUAAGUUUGAGAAUUGUUGAAAGAUUGAAGCUUAAUUAUUAAAUUUAUCUUAUGAAAUCUGAAUCUAAAGAUAAAAACAGUAACUCUAAAAAGUAUAAGGAUAACUUGUGAUAAUUGGAUAUGGAGUUGAAAUUUUUUUGGAAAACAUAGCAGUUGGUUGUAAGAGAACUUGGCUUUUGUGAAUAAUACAUACUUUGGGUGUUUUGGUGUCAAUAUUGCUAAGAUUUUGGUUAAGUUAGGUGAUAAUAUGUUUUGGGAAUUUGAAAAGUGAAAAAAUGUUAGUCCUUUGGUUAAAAUAAUUGAUGAAUUGAUAAAAUGGAAGUUAUUGAUGGAUUAUGUGGAAAUUUGCUAUGAAUUGGUAAGAAUGGAAUUGGAUUAAUGGAUUAUGUGGGAAUCGCAGAGUAUAAUUGAAAUACUAUUUAUCAUGAGUUGUGAAUUUCUGAUUGAUUGAGAAUCUUCUAUUUGAUAAUUGUUGAGAAAGGAUUGUUGAAUUGUUAAGAAAAAGGGAACCCGUAAGGGUGGUUAAGUCCGAGUUUUAGGGGAGGUGCUGCCGAAAUUUUAUAAAAUAUCUGAGGUUUCAUUUGAAAAGUUAUUUUAGAAGCUUUGAAUUUGGAAAAUUAUAUUACUUGAGUUUUAUUUAGUUAAGAAAAGAAUUAUAAUAUUUUGAGUUUGAUUUACCAAGGAAAGGUCUAUGUUUCGAAUUUGAGUUAUUUAAAAAGAAAUUAUGUUUUGAGUUUGAUUCAAUAUAGAAAAAAGUUAUGAUUUGGGCUUAAAGUAAAGGAUUACCUUUUAGAGAUUUGUGAAUUUAUAUUAUAACAUUUGAGUUGGAAUAUUAAAGAGAAAGAUGAUUUUCUUGAGUUUUUUGAUAGAGAAUUAAACUGGAAAACAAUUUUAAAGUUGGUUCGAGUUAAGAUUUGCUAAAGUAGAAAUUAUGAAAUGAUUUGAUGAUUAAGAUUUUUAUAGACAAAUGCCUGAGGAAUUAAGAAAGGUUUAAGGAAAAUUAUUAAGAAUUUAAAGGGGAAAAGAGAAUGGGGAACUGAUAUAUGGAUUGUUGAGUUUUAGAAAGGAAAAUGAAAAGUGAUAAAAGGCGGGAAAACCCCACGAACUGCUAGUUGUUUAACUACGGGAAAAAAAC